CGCCGGUUGUCCGAGCGGCAAAGGUGACUGAUUGCAAACCAGUUUAGGCGGGUUCGACUCCCGCACCGGCGUCCA
rnacentral:tRNA from 1 species